UACGAAGGGUGCAAACGUUGCUCGGAAUCAUUGGGCGUAAAGCGCACGUAGGCGGCUAUCUAAGUCGGAUGUGAAAUCCCUCGGCUUAACCAAGGAAGUGCAUCCGAAACUGGAUAGCUUGAGUACUGAAGAGGAUCGCGGAAUUCCCGGUGUAGAGGUGAAAUUCGUAGAUAUCGGGAGGAACACCAGUGGCGAAGGCGGCGAUCUGGGCAGAUACUGACGCUGAGGUGCGAAAGCGUGGGGAGCAAACAGG
rnacentral:rRNA from 1 species